rnacentral:rRNA from 1 species
UACGUAGGGUGCGAGCGUUAAUCGGAAUUACUGGGCGUAAAGCGUGCGCAGGCGGUUCGUGAUGUCUGAUGUGAAAGCCCCCGGGCUCAACCUGGGAAUUGCAUUGGAAACUAGCGGGCUGGAGUGUGGCAGAGGGGGGGUGGAAUUCCACGUGUAGCAGUGAAAUGCGUAGAGAUGUGGAGGAACACCGAUGGCGAAGGCAGCCCCCCUGGGGCUAACACUGACGCUCAUGCACGAAAAGCGUGGGGAGCAAAACAGG